ACUGAACGCUGGCGGCAUGCCUUACACAUGCAAGUCGAACGGCAGCACGGGUGCUUGCACCUGGUGGCGAGUGGCGAACGGGUGAGUAAUAUAUCGGAACGUACCUUAUUGUGGGGGAUAACGCAGCGAAAGCUGUGCUAAUACCGCAUAAUCCCUAAGGGGGAAAGCGGGGGACCGUAAGGCCUCGCGCAAUUAGAGCGGCCGAUACCUGAUUAGCUAGUUGGUGAGGUAAAGGCUCACCAAGGCAACGAUCAGUAGCUGGUCUGAGAGGACGAUCAGCCACACUGGGACUGAGACACGGCCAGACUCCUACGGGAGGCAGCAGUGGGGAAUUUUGGACAAUGGGGGCAACCCUGAUCCAGCAAUGCCGCGUGAGUGAAGAAGGCCUUCGGGUUGUAAAGCUCUUUUGUCAGGGAAGAAACAGCAGCUCUAACACAGUAUGCGAAUGACGGUACCUGAAGAAUAAGCACCGGCUAACUACGUGCCAGCCGCCGCCGUAA
rnacentral:rRNA from 1 species